GUGAGGAAUAUUGGUCAAUGGGCGGGAGCCUGAACCAGCCAAGUCGCGUGAAGGAAGAAGGAUCUAUGGUUCGUAAACUUCUUUUGCAGGGGAAUAAAGUGCAGGACGUAUCCUGUUUUGUAUGUACCCUGAGAAUAAGGAUCGGCUAACUCCGUGCCAGCAGCCGCGGUAAUACGGAGGAUCCGAGCGUUAUCCGGAUUUAUUGGGUUUAAAGGGUGCGUAGGUGGUUUGAUAAGUCAGCGGUGAAAGUUUGCAGCUUAACUGUAAAAAUGCCGUUGAAACUGUCGGACUUGAGUGUAAAUGAGGUAGGCGGAAUGCGUGGUGUAGCGGUGAAAUGCAUAGAUAUCACGCAGAACUCCGAUUGCGAAGGCAGCUUACUAAGCUACAACUGACACUGAAGCACGAAAGCGUGGGGAUCAAACAGGAUUAGAUACCCUUGUAGUCC
rnacentral:rRNA from 1 species